GGGCCCGCACAAGCGGUGGAGUAUGUGGUUUAAUUCGAUGCAACGCGAAGAACCUUACCAGGGUUUGACAUCCUGCGAAUUUCUGGGAAACGAGAGAGUGCCUUCGGGAACGCAGUGACAGGUGGUGCAUGGCUGUCGUCAGCUCGUGUCGUGAGAUGUUGGGUUAAGUCCCGCAACGAGCGCAACCCACGUCUUUAGUUGCCAGCAUUUAGUUGGGCACUCUAGAGAGACUGCCGGUGAUAAACCGGAGGAAGGUGUGGAUGACGUCAAAUCAUCACGGCCCUUACGUCCUGGGCCACACACGUGCUACAAUGCUACGGACAAAGGGCAGCAAGUUCGCGAGGACAAGCAAAUCCCAUAAACCGUGGCUCAGUUCAGAUCGUAGGCUGCAACUCGCCUACGUGAAGGCGGAAUCGCUAGUAAUCGCAGGU
rnacentral:rRNA from 1 species